rnacentral:tRNA from 1 species
CGGGGCGUAGCGCAGCCUGGUAGCGCACUACACUGGGGGUGUAGUGGUCAGAGGUUCAAAUCCUCUCGUCCCGACCA